rnacentral:rRNA from 1 species
UACGAAGGGGGCUAGCGUUGCUCGGAAUCACUGGGCGUAAAGCGCACGUAGGCGGAUCUUUAAGUCAGGGGUGAAAUCCUGGAGCUCAACUCCAGAACUGCCUUUGAUACUGAGGGUCUCGAGUCCGGGAGAGGUGAGUGGAACUGCGAGUGUAGAGGUGAAAUUCGUAGAUAUUCGCAAGAACACCAGUGGCGAAGGCGGCUAACUGGUCCGGUUCUGACGCUGAGGCGCGAAAGCGUGGGGAGCAAACAGG